rnacentral:rRNA from 1 species
UACGAAGGGGCUAGCGUUGCUCGGAAUUACUGGGCGUAAAGGGCGCGUAGGCGGAUGCUUAAGUUGGGGUGAAAGCCCAGGGCUCAACCCUGGAAUUGCCUUCAAUACUGGGCAUCUUGAGUACGGGAGAGGUGUGUGGAACUCCGAGUGUAGAGGUGAAAUUCGUAGAUAUUCGGAAGAACACCAGUGGCGAAGGCGACACACUGGCCCGUUACUGACGCCUGAGGCGCGAAAGCGUGGGG